rnacentral:ribozyme from 13 species
AAUGAAUGAUUGAAGUUGAUUUUAUUCAAUAAAAAAGCUUUUCACAUGCCAAAAUAGUUGGCAAAAAAUCUUGUCUGUUUUUUCUCUGUUUUCUCUUGUUUUCUUCUCUGCUUUGUUUCCUUUGCUUU